GGGGGUAGGGGCUUAGUGGUUAAGAGCACUGGCUGGUCUUCCAGAAAUCUUGGGUUCAAUUCCCAGCACCCACA
rnacentral:tRNA from 1 species